rnacentral:rRNA from 1 species
GACGAACCGUGCGAACGUUAUUCGGAAUCACUGGGCUUAAAGGGCGCGUAGGCGGAUUCACAAGUCUGUGGUGAAAUCCUCCAGCUUAACUGGAGAAGUGCCGUGGAUACUGUGAGUCUUGAGGAGGGUAGGGGCAUCUGGAACUACCGGUGGAGCGGUGAAAUGCGUUGAUAUCGGCAGGAACUCCGGUGGCGAAGGCGAGAUGCUGGAUCCUUUCUGACGCUGAGGCGCGAAAGCCAGGGGAGCAAACGGG